CUCCCACUGUCACUCGUCUCACUCUCCACCGUCUCUCUCUCUUCUCUCCCGUCCUCUCCCCUCACUGCCUUCUUUUCCCCUUUUGACCGAACCCUCUCCCCAUUUUCUGCUCGUUUUCGAUUUUUCUCCAAUCAAGUACUUUCUCUCACUGAUUUUCACUGUGCUAUCACUGUUGGAUCCGUUUUCAGCUUGGGGAUUUGUCUUCCCCCUCGUAACAGCAAUUAGAGAAGGCCUUGGUAGUGGCGGCAUUGGAGGAUUUUAGCCGUUUGGGGACCACUUGGACGCGUGAGGUGGCUGCCGGGAGGAUUACAGCAGUUUAGACCUUCAAUCGGGGUUCACCGGGUACGUCCCGUCGACCUUGAGUUACCGGAUUCGAAGCUCGAGGCAUUUUGAAGAUUCUUGUGAACGCGCCACAGGUUUUGGUGUACCCGGGGCAGCAGGCUGAGCAGAUGGCUACACUCACGUCCUACUGGGGAGGUUUUGGGUUUUGUUUUGUUCUUGUAGUGCCGGCGCGUCGGGUUUUUGGUUUUUACUGAUGCCUUGUUUUGAUGAGGCAUCGAUGUUGUGAUUUUGGGGCAUUUUUGUCAAAUGUACAAUUGAAUUGAAAUGCUAUAUAAUGGAAAGCUUGCCCCAUUGUUUUGAAUUGCUUGGCUCAUUCCUUUUUGAACUAUUGUGUAGUCACACCUCGAUGUUGGAUGUUAGAAAAAAAAAAAAUGUUCGAGUGUCAAAAAGGUCGGGGUGUGACAGUUUUGGUAUCAGAGCCAUGGCAAACCCCACUAUGGAUGUGAGUUAAAGCCUAUUUGUGAAGCCGUGUUGCCCAGGUACGCAUUCAUUUGAUUAGAUUGUUAUUGUGGUUAUGCUUUUUCACGUAUAAGUACGUAAUGUGAUCUAUGUUUUGAACUUCGUGCUAAUGCACGUUGUGAUUUGAUUUGUGAGAUUAGUCAUAGACUGGAUUUGAG